rnacentral:misc_RNA from 1 species
UACGGAGAAGGCAAGCGUUACCCGGAAUUAUUGGGCGUAAAGAGCUCGUAGGCGGUCCUUCAAGUCGAAAGUGAAAUCUCAGGGCUUAACCCUGAAAUUGCUUUCGAUACUGGCGGACUUGAGGCAGGUAGGGGAAGGUGGAAUUCCUGGUGUAGCGGUGAAAUGCGCAGAUAUCAGGAGGAACACCAGUGGCGAAGGCGGCCUUCUGGGCCUGUACUGACGCUGAGGAGCGAAAGCGUGGGGAGCGAACAGG